CUUCUUUUAUAAGGGAAUAAACCCUCCCACGUGUGGGAGCUUGUAUGUACCUUAUGAAUAAGCAUCGGCUAACUCUGUGCCAGCAGCCGCGGUAAUACAGAGGUCUCAAGCGUUGUUCGGAAUCACUGGGCGUAAAGCGUGCGUAGGCGGUUUCGUAAGUCGUGUGUGAAAGGCGGGGGCUCAACCCCCGGACUGCACAUGAUACUGCGAGACUAGAGUAAUGGAGGGGGAACCGGAAUUCUCGGUGUAGCAGUGAAAUGCGUAGAUAUCGAGAGGAACACUCGUGGCGAAGGCGGGUUCCUGGACAUUAACUGACGCUGAGGCACGAAGGCCAGGGGAGCGAAAGGGAUUAGAUACCCCUGUAGUCCUGGCAGUAAACGGUGCACGCUUGGUGUGCGGGGAAUCGACCCCCUGCGUGCCGGAGCUAACGCGUUAAGCGUGCCGCCUGGGGAGUACGGUCGCAAGAUUAAAACUCAAAGAAAUUGACGGGGACCCGCACAAGCGGUGGAGUAUGUGGCUUAAUUCGAUGCAACGCGAAGAACCUUACCUGGGCUUGACAUGUAAUGAACAACAUGUGAAAGCAUGCGACUCUUCGGAGGCGUUACACAGGUGCUGCAUGGCCGUCGUCAGCUCGUGUCGUGAGAUGUUUGGUUAAGUCCAGCAACGAGCGCAACCCCUGUUGCCAGUUACCAGCACGUAAAGGUGGGGACUCUGGCGAGACUGCCCAGAUCAACUGGGAGGAAGGUGGGGACGACGUCAGGUCAGUAUGGCCCUUAUGCCCAGGGCUGCACACGUACUACAAUGCCCAGUACAGAGGGGGCCGAAGCCGCGAGGCGGAGGAAAUCCUGAAAACUGGGCCCAGUUCGGACUGUAGGCUGCAACCCGCCUACACGAAGCCGGAAUCGCUAGUAAUGGCGCAUCAGCUACGGCGCCGUGAAUACGUUCCCGGGUCUUGUACACACCGCCCGUCACAUCAUGGAAGCCGGUCGCACCCGAAGUAUCUGAAGCCAACCGCAAGGAGGCAGGGUCCUAAGGUGAGACUGGUAACUGGGAUGAAGUCGUAACAAGGUAGCCGUAGGGGAACCUGCGGCUG
rnacentral:rRNA from 1 species